UAACUUUUUACAACGUUGACUUCUAAAACGGUUUAAAAUCAUCUUAGAAUGCCUCCAAGAGUUGUCGUAAAAUACACUUUUUCUAGUAGUGAUUAUAACUUGUUGAAUUUGCAGCCUUGCCCAAAGUUUCUAGACUUUGUCUGAUUUAGCAAAGCAUCUAGCUACAACAGUGGAAAUAGUAUUUCUAAUUAUACACGGUCAAUUUGGUGAAGAUGCUGACAUUCAGGUCCAGUAUAUAUACAAGGAAUCCUUCUUGGAUAUAAUGAACUUGUGUAUUUAUGAAUUGUAUUUCUCUGUGAUAAAUAUUAAUAGGAAUUGCUGGAAAAGUAUAAUGUUCCAUUUGUUGGCACAGGAUCAAAGGAGUCUUGCCAAGCAUUUGACAAGGGAAUCGACAAUAAACUGCUAAUAGAAAUAUUUCUUGAAGGAGGGAGUGAGCUUGCAACCAUUGUCCUUGAUGUUGGAUUUGAUUCAAAUAGUUUUCUUGUUGUACUACUUUUAACUGAGGUGGAGCUUCAAUUCCGUGGUGCAAAUGAUGUGAAAGAAAAUGACACAAUAUUUAAUUACCACAGGAAGUACCUUCCAAUCUAUGUUAUUUCAAUGGCUUUGCGCGCAAGAUUUUGAACGAAUUGAUGGAUGGCUUUUGCCAAAUUCAAGUUCCAAAUUGUUGUCAUCAUCAAAAAGUGAGUUUGGAAGGACUGAAUCUGGUGUCAUAAUAUUCACUGACACUAACUUGAUAAGUAGUAUGGAACAAAUUGGUUUUCUAUUUCAGCAAGCUUCUAAGUUAGUGGUAUAUCAGGUUAGCUUCCAAGCAGGUCAAAAUCCUUGCCACAUAACAAGUCAUUUUCUCGCCAUGAAGGAACUCGAAAAGUGUCUGUCAUUUUUGGAGGUAACACAUCAGAACGACAAGUAUCUCUUAUGAGUGGUACAAAUGUCUAGCUCAAUUUGCUAGCCUUCCAUGAUGUAAGUGUCCAUAAUCAGGAAGACCGAAAACUUAUUGUAAAUAAUGUCAUUUAUUUUCUUUAUCUCACUUAUGUUGGGCUCUUCAACUAUAUACUACAUAGGUGUAAAUACUGUAAAUAAUGUCACUUAUUUUCUCUACUGCACCUUACAUUGCACGUUUUGGGUUGUAAGGUGGAGAAGUUCUUUUGUUGACAGUGCUUACAUAGGCAUUAUGUUCAGAUUUUGAUAAUUAGGAACCCACAAGCCCCUCUGGGGGGUGGCAAUUUGCGUGGUAGUAGUACCUAUAAUAUGCAUCCUUACCCAGGAAUUUUCCAUUGAAAGCGAUUAUCUACCUGGUGUUGACUUUUGUUGAGUACCUUUGAGGAUCUGUAAAUUCUAUGAAGGUUUUCAACCGACUGCCAGAUUUCUAAAUUAACUCUUUCUCUAAAGCUGUUGUUAUCAUUGAGUGUUUCAUGAUUCAUGGAGCUAAUAUAUUUCAAUAUGUAAUUGACCUCGUUUAGAAGUUGUUGUGCAUUUCCUGUGUUUUGUCAUAAACUCUGUGUAUUACUAAUGGGAGUGAAGCACCAAGCAGAAUUGAUGUCGAAGUGCUACUGGCAUCUAAGAAACUUGCACCUGUAGUUAUUCUAAAUAAGGUGAUAUUGUAAAAUUAGUAACUUCUUUUUGUGAUACCGUUAUGCUUGUGAUGUGUGAGGUGUGACACUAAUGAGGUUUAACUUAUUCUCCUAAUUUAUGUUAAACUUGUAGAUAAGGGUCCCAUAUAGACAAUAAAUGCUAAGAUUAGUUCAAUUUCAAUAUGUUUAAUUUACUCUCAUUUCUUGCUUAUUUUGAAGUGUUUUCUAAAAUGCCAUUUUCCAUAAUCAAGUUACCUUACAUUCCUAGUUUCUUUAUUCUUUUUUGUUUCUAAAGAGGCCACUCUUACUGACAAUUUGUUAUGAGUAUUCCUGAAUUCAUCAAUUCUGAUAUUUAGUACAUGUUUCCAGGUUUUCAAGUCAGAGUUAUGUUUCUAGGAGGAGAAACCAUGCUUACUAGACUUAAUGGUCUAUGCAGGUGUCAAAGCUUAAUGAAAAGUGUGAUUCUCUUCAAAGGAGGUAAUCCAGUAAUGGAGAUAAGGAUUAUAUUGUCUAUGCAAUUUGAUUGCAUAUUGGACCACUGAGCAUAAAAGAGUUGCUAAUUCUUGAGGAGCAGCUUGAAAUAGCUUUAUCAAAAGCUAGGCAAAGGAAGAAUUGGCAGGUCUAUGUAAUUUUAUGGCGAGGAUUCCUGACAAGAUUAGGUCUAUUGAUGGAUCAAAAGAAACGCUUAAGCUUGCUGUUAGGAUCACCGAUCUUUGGUUCGUUGGGACUCCUAACAAGUCUGAGCAAGCGGAAAUGGUUUUUGUUGAUUCUGAGGGUGAUCAAAUUCAUGCUAUUUGUAAAUCGGACCACCUCAAGUCUUGGAAAGCUGAUUUGAAAGAGAAUUGCACUUAUGUUAUGCAUAAUUUCAAAGUUGUUAAGAAUGAUGGUCAAUUUAGAGUGUGCGAACAUGAGUACAAGUUAUUUUUUAUUGGAGUGACGGUUGUUAGAGAAGCUGAUUUGCAUGAACUGCCUUUUAAGGAAUUUAGAUUUGUUGAAUUUGCAAAUGUUGUUGCUGGCAAUUUUGUGUCUGGCCUGCUGGUUGGUGAGUAUAGUCACAAUUUGUGCUUUCAUUUUGAUCAUAACUUCUUUGGGGUUUUUCCGAUGACUUAUUUUCAUUUGUGGUGGUUUAAGAUAUUAUUGGGGUCGUUGAUCAGGUGGUCUUUCAACAUGUUUCAUCGAAAAAUACCAGGGUUGUUUUUAGAAUGAAGGAUUUGAGGUUAUGGUUAAUCACAGUUUUUGCUAUCUUCUGUGUAUAUUUGGUUAUUUAGAGUUUAUAUUGUCGAGAAUUGUAUUUUUCAUUUUGCAUGGUGCUUAUGUCUAUCUUAUCCUUAUGAGGUGAUGGAUGUAAUGUUGUUUCUUUGCUGUAGUGGUGAAAUUUUGUCUUGCACACUUUGAGAGAAUUAUUGUGCUCAGUUCCUAUCCUAUUUGAAUGAACGUGGGGAUGAUGGGCCGAUGGUUAUUAUAUUGACGAAUGCCAGAAUAAAAGAUGCACAGGGAAGUUAUCCAGCUUUAGUGAGCAAUUCCUUCAAGGCGUCAAAACUAUUGAUUAAUGAUCCUAUAUUAGAAAUUCAGGAAUUUAAAGAGAGGCUUUUAGAUUAAGGCGUUGAGGUGAGUCGAGUUUUGCUACCUGGCGAUCAAGCAAGCUCACAAGUUUCAGGGGGGGAGUCAGCUAUCAUCAAAGGAUUCAUUUCUUUCAAAGGAUGAAGCCAAAACUAUUUUAGAAAUCAAUGCCAUUUCUGAGGUGGACCUGUUAUUUGUGUUUAUUUUAUAUUCAUUGCAGUUGGAAGUCGAAUUUGGCUAGAUUUGUUCGCAUUGAUAUAUUAUAGCUAAUGUGUCUAACGAUGACAUUUUAUUGUUGGCAAUUUGAUUGUUAUGGUUUUUUAAAAGUACGCUGUUUGUGUUACCGUGGGGACUAUUAGCAAAAUAGUCAUGGAUAACCAUUCAUGGUGUUAUCCAGCCUGUGCUCAAUGUCAUAGGAAAACUGACAUCCAAAUAGGACCAUUCACAUGUGGAUGUGGCAAGGAUAAUGAUCAGCCUGUUCUAAGGUAAUUGGAGUUUUAGUCCAUUAACAUGUUUUAUUCAGUGUUUUGUUUGUUACUGGCAUCUAAAUUGGUAGGUAUAGAGUUGAGGUCAUGGUUACACAAAACAAUGAGAGUGGCAAAUUUUUGCUCUAGGACCGUGAAUGUGCUGAAUUGAUUGGCCAAACAGCUUAUGGUGUGAAUAGGGUCAAGAUUGAAGAUGGUGAUCUUGAUUUGAAUGCUUCCCCUCAAGCACUCGACAAACUGUUGGGUCAUGUGCUUGCUUUUAAGCAAUUUCUGUCUGCCACAGUUGACCAUGAUCCUGUUGAGGGGUUUCCUUUAACACCCAAAUAGCGGAUGUCAUCUGAUGAAGCCGAUGAUGACUUAGGGGGCUCUCAAAUUUCGCCAGCCCAGCUAUCGUCUAACAAAUUAACAAGACAUUCUCAUAGGAGCUAAUUUAGAUGAUUCCAGAUUCUUAUUGUUGUGUUUUCACGCUGCUAUUAAAAUAUUGGCAUAUUGAACAGACAAUUAUGUAGUUUUUGUUAUCACUGCAUUUGUAUAUUUGAAAAUCGGGUUUUUUGGAUUCA